rnacentral:lncRNA from 1 species
UGUAAUAUUAUAUAUUUCGUAUGAUCAUGCGCGGUGCGCCGGCCGCUGGGAAAACGUUCCCGCCUAUCUUUGGAGGGUGAACAACGGCAAAGGAAAGACCUUUCUCUCUGUCUCUCUCACUGUCCACUCUGCCUGUCAGAAGAGGCUAGGUUGAGGCCGGCGCCGCAGCUCACUAGGCUAAUCCUCCGCCUGCGGCGCCGGCACACCAGGUUCUAGUCCCGAUUGGGGUGCCGGAUUCUGUCCCGGUUGCUCCUCUUCCAGUCCAGCUCUCUGCUGUGGCCCAGGAAGGCAGUGGAGGAUGGCCCAAGUGCUUGGGCCCUGCACCCCAUGGGAGACCAGGAGAAGCACCUGGCUCCUGGCUUCGGAUCAGUGUAGUGCCGGCCAUAGCGGCCAUUUGGGGGGUGAACCAACAAAAGGAAGACCUUUUUUCUGUCUUUCUCUCUCUCUCACUGUCUAACUCUGCCUGUAAAAAAAAAAAAAAAUGAGGGGUUGUUUGUGCAGUUGCUUAGAACCCAUCAGGAAGGGGGCCUGGGUCUGGGCAGCUGGGCCCCCUGGCUUUUCACUUCAGAGCUGACCGUGUGAUCAUCGCAGUUUGAUGUCUCUUGUGUAAAAGUUCCAAGGGAGAGGGGUAGGAGCCAGCGCCCUGGGAUUUGGGAGUUCCUUCUGGAUGGUGAAGGGGAUGUCUGAGCUUCCUCAUGCCACGGGCUGCACUUUCUCCUUCGGCACGAAAACAGCCUCUUCCCAUUUCCUGAAGCUCAGGGAACAUGUUGGCAGGAACAAAGACAUCAGCAAUGUGGCUGCGCGGGGGUGGAAUCGUUGCCUGGGAGUACCGAAGUGCAGAGCACCUGGAGGAGUGUGUGUGGAAGCCGGGUCUCUGAGCAGGUGCAAUACCUUACUGUGGACAGCGGACCCCAGCACUGCAAGUGGCAGAUUCCCAGGAAGUCCCGGAAGCAUAGCAGCAGCCCGUGAGCCACAGCCACAUCUCUAG